CAUGAUUUUUAACGUCUAUAUUUGGAAAUGCUCAUCUACACUAAUGUUGCAACGCAUUCCUUUUAUUACUUUUUUUUUUGUAACACAUUCUUCAUUCAUAUCUUAAAUCAUUACAUGGAUAAGGGCAACAUCAAACAUAUGAUGUGCAAUCAUUUUUAAAAACUCAAGUGCAAAGCAAUAAAAAGAUAGAGACACAAACUUAGACAAGUUUGAUAAAAAGUCGAAAUUGAUUUCAAAGGUGCCACACGCGAGUAAACUCAUGGAGUAGGUACUGCGCUCUUCAAAUUUUUCAGAUUAAGAAAUAGUCACUGUAUAUCGUGACGUUGAAAGCUCCAAAACCUCGAGUUUCAUCGGGAUGAGUCUCGUUGUAUCUUCCGGUCCCAAACGAACCAUUACACAAGAUAACAAAUGGUUAAGAAAGUGAUAAUACUCUUUGGCUUUGAAGCCAAGAGAAAGGUACCUCUCAUGGAGAGGAGUUUUGGUGGAAAGGUUCACUUCUACAAAGAGAAGGAAGGAUGUAAAGGAUCUCUCAUGGCCCCGGCGUGAGGAGGUUUGAUUAACCAUUUUUAUAAAGGCUACGGGACUGCAGUCUUCAAGCAUUGAAGUACUCUGAGCUACCCUUUGAAUGUGUCUAACAUUUGUACUUGUCGGAUCUUCUGGUUAAUGUUGAAACUUGCUUGAUAUCAAUGGCUUUGCACCAUCAACUGCAUCAAAGAGAUAAAACAAUCCACCUAUUCCCAGAACAUAAACUUUCUUUGAUGGAAUUUCCAUCUUCAGGUCCAUAACAAAAACUGACAGAUGAGGGCACAUGACCAUUGAAUAUAAUGAAUUUAGGAGCUGCUAUAUGUGGAUGACGGUGGCGAGAGAAGGGUGUUUUAAACCCGACAAAGAGGGACGAGCCACCUUAACAACGGCGUUGAGAUAGAUGAGCUUGACAGGGUCUGACGACGACGAGGCUGUAGCUAAGGUCAAGCAUAGGCUUCGGUAACCAACAUUACCGUGUCGGAACCAAAGAUUUUUGCCGAAGCCAUAGUUAAGCCUCUGGUCAACUGAAUCUGCCCAGCUGAGAAGGUAAGAGCAGUAGCUGGAAAAUGCAGGUCUGCACAGUAGUGGCAGUGAAAAGGAAUGGACCUGCGGGUCUUCAAAUUGGAGUGAAAUCAUAAUGAAGGUUAGUGUGGAACACAUAGAGCCUUCAAACAUGAGCUUAUUCGCUGGGGAUGAUGGGGCAAAGAGUUCAGAGCCGUCGAAGCUUGUAGAUCUCGGCAAGGAAGCAAUAUCAAUAGAGUGGAGACCACAGUGAUACAUAACAGUGGAGAAAACUCCUCGGGAACCACCGAUAACAAUUUCAGAUCCGGUAAACACAGUUCGGACAGCGAAGGCUACAAAAGUCUCCUCAGCCACCGGCGAUAUCAAAUCCGGAAGAGAAGGUAUGAAGAGCUCAGUUGGCUUCCAACACAGCCGUGAUUGUUGUAACAACCGAACCUUAGACAAAGUUGAGACAAAAUGAAACAAAGAAACAGACAAGAAAACAGAGAGAAAGCAGAGAGUUAAGAGAAGCAGAGAGAAGAUGAGGUGACGCCGGCGAGCCUCGAGCCUCUGUUCCACCGGCGUCGGAAAAGGAAAACAGAUCUGAUGUCUCGAUUAGAGUGGCUAGGUUUUUUCCGUGCGUUCCUAUUUUCCUAAUAAAAUAGAAAUAAAAAUAAGAAAACACGUUCCUUCUAUUACUUAAAGUAAGUAAUUUUGAUGUUCAACUUAUAACAAUCUCACAGGGUUGGGUUUUAUUACAAAAUUUCCCAGUCUGAAUGAUUUUCGAUCUUAAGUUUCAUUAUGUGGAAUAGUGAUGAAAAUAUGAAAUAUCGGUUUAAAAGAAAAAAAUGGCAAUUAACACAAGGAACGUUUCCUAGGUAGAAGAACCGUGUCUUAGAGGACACAUGUUGAUUGUGCCGCUCAAAAAAAAACCGGAGAAGUCUUUUGUUUCGCCAUCUCUCUUGUCUGUGUCUUCUCCAUCUCUCGUCUCUGUGUCUCUCCCGGUGAAGGCUAUGCAGCUGACUGGAAUCGGGAAUACAAAUUACUCGGUAAAGCCAUUGAUCGGAGGUCCGUUUGGAUCUCUGUUCCAAGUCGAAACCGGAGAAGAUGGUUCUUUCCUCUGUCUCAUUCUUCCCAUCAAAAAAGAAAGUAGCAGAGUAAAUUUUAUAGACGAUGUUAGAGAAACGUUCGAGAACUUAUUGACAAUAAUGAAUCUCAAAACCUCACUGAUGAAGGGAUUGAAGCUAUGCGGAGAGAGGUAAUGUGCAAAAGGGGAUGAGAUUACCGAAGAUAUGAUUGCAAACAGCAAAACAUCAGCGUUUAAUCUUGUUUUCAGGAAAAAUAUCUCCUUAAGAAGCAGAAGAAGUAUGCACCAAAGGUGCUUCUAAUACGCCCUUUUGCUGGAAGUAUCUAUGAAGCCUAUUUAAAGAAAUAUCCAGCCAUGAUGAAGCAUGCUCCCUUUUGUUAACAAUGGCUACUGUCACUGCAUACUCGGAUGUGCUUGUGGUGGAUAUGGUUGGUGGUCUUGUCACUGGUGCAGUGGCUGAAUGCCUAGGAGGUGCUGGUUAUGUUUGCAAUACAUAAAAGGGAGAUUCUCCUUCCUCUGUGGAUAUGGUUAGGAUGUUCAACUUUACUGACAAGGUUAAAAGAGAGGGAUCAAGAUGAUUACGAGAACAGAGAUGUACGUUAUCAAGAUGCUUAGUUUUGUCAAGAAGAAGAAGGUUAGUCUCUUACAUUACUUAUAGAGGUUAGUGAUAACAAGCCCUGAAAAAAAACAAGGAUGACAUUGGUGUUGAAUCAGAACAUGAACAAAGAUGAUCCCUUUUGUUAAACUCCUGCUUCGUUUACAAUUGAGAGAGUCCUAUGUGUAUUAAUUGUGUGGUUUCUCAAUGAGUUCUGAGACGUAACUCAUCAUUUGUUUCUUCUCAUAGGCUUUGUUUCUCACUUUGAUCAUUAAGCAUAGUUUCGAGGGCAUUUAGUACAUCUCCAUUUACUAUGACCUUGUUCGUUUGCGGGUCGCUAGCGUCAGCGACCAGUCCUAGCGACUAUCUUUGUGUGAAACUAGAGUCAUGCUCUGUCUCAAUUUUCUGAAGUUUCAUUUCCUUAUGUUAUCUUUACAUAUGUUUUGUAAUCUCCAUUUACUAUCUUUGUUUUAAGAACCCUUAAUUAAGAGAUUAGCAUUGGAGCACAAAAAUGUUGGUUUUUUUUAAGUAAGUUUCGAGGGCAUUUAGUACAUCUCCAUUUACUA